UUGUCUGUCAAUAGCCACACGGAACGUGAUUUAAUAGAAAAUUGCUCUGCCUCUUAAUUUUGCUGAACCAAUUGCUCGGAGAAAUUUUUUAACGUUAUACUGAACAAAUAUUUAGUGUUUAACUAAUUUAGUAAAUUAUUUAGUAAAAAAUAAAAAAUGGCAAAGUGGGGUGAAGGUGAUCCACGUUGGAUUGUUGAAGAACGUCCGGACGCAACGAAUGUCAACAAUUGGCAUUGGACGGAAAAAAACGCUACACCUUGGUCCAAGGACCGUUUAGCACAAUUAUUUAAAGGACUUAAGAUUGAAAAGGAUGGCAUCGAAUGUAUUGUAGAUAAUGUUGACGAUUGUACUGGUGAAGCUACAGUUAACAAUCGUAAAGGGAAACUUAUUUUCUUCUAUGAAUGGAAAUUGAUACUUAAAUGGACUGGAAAAUUAUUGAAUAAUAGCAAUUUAGAGCAUAAAGGUAAAAUAACUAUACCGAAUUUGUCCGAAGAAAACGAUUUAGAUGACAUAGAGAUAACCAUUACCAUUGACGAGUCCAACGAUGAAUCGGAAAAUCUGAAACAGUUCAUGUAUAAUAAUGGACGAGAUGUUGUACGGAAACAGAUCGCAUUGUAUAUCAAGGAAUUGAAAGAGGAAUAUUCCAAAAAUUUAAUACUUCCGAAAAAGGGCGAAGAAAAUACUGUAGUCUCGCCAAAGAUAAAACAAGCCGGAUCCAGUAUCGCAGCGGAAGCUAAUUUAUCGAAUAGUGCAAAUACAGUGAAAGCCAGUGAUAAAUCAGGGAAUAAUGUUGGCUGUAAGUUAGACGUAAGAACGUUAAGAAUGGCUGUUGAGUUCAAUUGUAGUGCGAACGAUUUAUAUAAUGCCUUGACAAAAGAGGAUAUGUUAACUGCUUUCACCCGUGCACCAGUUAAAGUGUUGCCAACGCGCGGUGGAGAAUUCGUUUUGUAUGGCGGUAAUGUGCUAGGUAAGUUCGAAGAACUGGUACCAGAAAAGAAGAUUCAACAAACUUGGCGACUUAAAAACUGGCCUUCAGGUCACUACUCCCAGGUUGUGAUAGACUUGGAGGAGACGAAAAACAACACCCAAUUGAAGCUAACACAAACUGGCAUUCCUGCGUCCGAAUAUGAUGCUAUGACCACAAACUGGCACCGAUACUACUGGGAGAGCAUGAAACAAACGUUUGGCUUCGGCUUAUCUAUAUCGGGUUUAUGGUAAAACUAGUUAGUUGUGUUAGGCGUUGCGUAGUAAAAUAAAAUAUCAUGUAAACAAAAACCUCAUUGCCCAUAGACGUCAUAUAUAUAGACUAUGUAUAUUGAAUGAGCAACAAAAACAAACAAACACCACAAAGAGCUGCACUUUAUAGGUUAUUUAAUUAUUUUCCGUUUAGAAUUUAUUUAUAUACGCUUUAAGAACAGCCAAGUUUCGCGUGCGCUUGGUGAUGGCUUCAACUAAUUACAGCUGAUCGUCUCUUUUUCCUACGCAAAAUAUAAAACAACAAUGAGGAAAAUUGCUUAAUCUUUGGAUAAAAAAAAGUUAGAACAAAAAAUUAGAUUGUCGAUGUAAUUUCUUGAAAACAAAAAGUCGCAAAUAAACGAAAGAUCUGGCCACAGUUUGAAGGCAAAUAUUAA
rnacentral:misc_RNA from 1 species